rnacentral:rRNA from 1 species
GAUGAACGCUGGCGGCGUGCCUAAUACAUGCAAGUCGAGCGAACGGACGAGAAGCUUGCUUCUCUGAUGUUAGCGGCGGACGGGUGAGUAACACGUGGAUAACCUACCUAUAAGACUGGGAUAAAUUCGGGAAACCGGAGCUAAUACCGGAUGAUAUUUUGAACCGCAUGGUUCAAAAGUGAAAGACGGUCUUGCUGUCACUUAUAGAUGGAUCCGAGCUGCAUUAGCUAGUUGGUAAGGUAACGGCUUACCAAGGCAACGAUGCAUAGCCGACCUGGGAGGGGGAUCGGCCACCCUGGAAGUGAGCCGCGCACCAGACUCCUACGGGAGGCACCAGUAGGGAAUCUUCCGCAAUGGGCGAAAGCCUGACGGAGCAACGCGGCGUGAGUGAUAAAGGUCUUCGGUUCGUAAAACUCUGUUAUUAGGGAAAAACAUAUUUGUAAGUAACUGUGCACAUCUUGACGGUACCUAAUCAGAAAGCCACGGCUAACUACGUG